CAGGUCGCCGCGGGAAUACGUAGGUGGCAAGCGUUGUCCGGAAUUAUUGGGCGUAAAGCGCGCGCAGGCGGUUUCUUAAGUCUGAUGUGAAAGCCCCCGGCUCAACCGGGGAGGGUCAUUGGAAACUGAGAAACUUGAGUGUAGAAGAGGAGAGUGGAAUUCCACGUGUAGCGGUGGAAUGCGUAGAGAUGUGGAGGAACACCAGUGGCGAAGGCGACUCUCUGGUCUGUAACUGACGCUGAGGAGCGAAAGCGUAGGGAGCGAACAGGAUUAGAUACCCCCGUAGUCCCUGUCUCUUAUA
rnacentral:rRNA from 1 species